rnacentral:rRNA from 1 species
UACGGAGGGCGCUAGCGUUGUUCGGAAAUACUGGGCGUAAAGCGCACGUAGGCGGCGCCGCAAGUCAGGGGUGAAAUCCCGGGGCUCAACCCCGGAACUGCCCUUGAAACUGCGGUGCUAGAAUCUUGGAGAGGCGAGUGGAAUUCCGAGUGUAGAGGUGAAAUUCGUAGAUAUUCGGAAGAACACCAGUGGCGAAGGCGACUCGCUGGACAAGUAUUGACGCUGAGGUGCGAAAGCGUGGGGAGCAAACAGG